rnacentral:rRNA from 1 species
CGGGGGGCAGCAGUAAGGAAUAUUGGUCAAUGGACGCAAGUCUGAACCAGCCAUGCCGCGUGAAGGAUUAAGGUCCUCUGGAUUGUAAACUUCUUUUAUAUGGGACGAAAACAGACCUUUCUAGGUCCUUUGACGGUACCAUAUGAAUAAGCACCGGCUAACUCCGUGCCAGCAGCCGCGGUAAUACGGAGGGUGCAAGCGUUAUCCGGAUUCACUGGGUUUAAAGGGUGCGUAGGCGGGCAGGUAAGUCAGUGGUGAAAUCCUGGAGCUCAACUCCAGAACUGCCAUUGAUACUAUCUGUCUUGAAUAUUGUGGAGGUAAGCGGAAUAUGUCAUGUAGCGGUGAAAUGCUUAGAUAUGACAUAGAACACCCAUUGCGAAGGCAGCUUACUACGCAUAUAUUGACGCUGAGGCACGAAAGCGUGGGGAUCAAACAGGAUUAGAUACCCCAGU